AGUUCCAGCUGAUGCCUCCAGAGGCGCCGAGGCUGAGCUAGAAUCUCGGUUCUCCAAGGACCCAGGCGGCCAGGAACCCAGGGCGCGGCAGGAAAAGUGGUUGGGAGUGACGCAUCGUGGGCCAGGGGAGCCGUCUGACCACAGCCGCUCAGAGGAUGUGCCAUGGUUUCAGUCACAGGGGCGCCUACCCUCCUCCGCCACGUCCCCCCUACCUCCAGAUUCCCAUCACACUGUCAGCCUCCAAGUCCUGUCCCAGGGACCCUCCUCCGCAGCCAGCAGACUGGUGAGGACCUGCAUCCACUCCAUGCUGCUCUCAGAGGCUCCCUCUGCACUACCCAGCUGUGCUCAGCCUCCCGAGCCCAGGCCUCCACCUUGGGGAGGCCGGAGCCUCCUUGCCUCUCUGCCUCCCCAUGGACCUGCCCCUCUGCUUCCACUGGGGCCUCAGGAUGCUCCUUUCUGCUGCCUGUCCUGUGACCCCUGCCCCACAUAGCAAACUUUUCCACUUUUCUUUGUUAAAAUAAUUAAGCAUGAAUAUUAAGAACAUGUUUUUAUGUCAAGUGCGCUGUAAUGACAGUUGAUCGGGGGGGAAGGCUUAGCGCUCCUCUGAAUCCCAAGCUUCACAAACAUGGUCUCCCAGCACCACUGGGGACUGAGGACAGGCCUGGGAAGGAUCACCUUGGGUCCAGAACGUUCUCCCCGUCCGGCUCUUGCUGUCCCGAUGGCUUCUCCUGCUCUUUCCUGGUUCCUCAUCUUGAUGUUCCUUGUACCUCCC
rnacentral:lncRNA from 1 species